UACGUAGGGGGCAAGCGUUGUCCGGAAUCAUUGGGCGUAAAGCGCGCGUAGGCGGCCCGGUAAGUCCGCUCUGAAAGUCCAGGGCUCAACCCUGGAAAGCGGGUGGAUACUGCCGGGCUAGAAUCCGGAAGAGGCGAGUGGAAUUCCUGGUGUAGCGGUGGAAUGCGCAGAUAUCAGGAGGAACACCAAUAGCGAAGGCAGCUCGCUGGGACGGUAUUGACGCUAAGGCGCGAAAGCCAGGGGAGCAAACGGGG
rnacentral:rRNA from 1 species